rnacentral:rRNA from 1 species
GAACUUGAGAGUUUGAUCCUGGCUCAGGACGAACGCUGGCGGCAUGCCUAACACAUGCAAGUCGAACGGGGAUAGCAA